AGGCAUAGCAACGAUUGAACCAAAGACUGUUCGGCAGUCAGUCGUUGAGCUGAGGCGGAAUAGGCGAGGGGAUGAUGAGGAUGACGACAUUGAGACCAGACCAAAAACACCUGGACUGCACAGUAUGUUUAUGGAGCCCUGACAACAUGUGCGGUGAAUAUGAGUCUGCAGUACAUUUGGCUGGCAAAGACGAGACAAACGUCAUCCUGUCAGAAGACAAAAAAGGAUGCGAAACCUGUCCUGACUUGUGCGUUUUUUGAGGCAUCAGAAUG